rnacentral:rRNA from 1 species
UGCAAGUCGAGCGCAGGAACCGUCUGAACCCUUCGGGGGGACGACGGCGGAAUGAGCGGCGGACGGGUGAGUAACACGUAAAGAACCUGCCCAUAGGUCUGGGAUAACCACGAGAAAUCGGGGCUAAUACCGGAUGUGUCAUCGGACCGCAUGGUCCGUUGAUGAAAGGCGCUCCGGCGUCGCCCAUGGAUGGCUUUGCGGUGCAUUAGCUAGUUGGUGGGGUAACGGCCCACCAAGGCGACGAUGCAUAGCCGACCUGAGAGGGUGAUCGGCCACACUGGGACUGAGACACGGCCCAGACUCCUACGGGAGGCAGCAGUAGGGAAUCUUCCACAAUGGACGAAAGUCUGAUGGAGCAACGCCGCGUGAACGAUGAAGGCUUUCGGGUCGUAAAGUUCUGUUGUAAGGGAAGAACAAGUGCCGCAGGCAAUGGCGGCACCUUGACGGUACCUUGCGAGAAAGCCACGGCUAACUACGUGCCAGCAGCCGCGGUAAUACGUAGGUGGCAAGCGUUGUCCGGAAUUAUUGGGCGUAAAGCGCGCGCAGGCGGCCUCUUAAGUCUGAUGUGAAAGCCCCCGGCUCAACCGGGGAGGGCCAUUGGAAACUGGGAGGCUUGAGUAUAGGAGAGAAGAGUGGAAUUCCACGUGUAGCGGUGAAAUGCGUAGAGAUGU